rnacentral:rRNA from 1 species
UACGAAGGGGACUAGCGUUGUUCGGAAUCACUGGGCGUAAAGCGCACGUAGGCGGCUUUCUAAGUCAGGGGUGAAAUCCUGGAGCUCAACUCCAGAACUGCCUUUGAUACUGGAGAGCUCGAGUCCGGAAGAGGUGAGUGGAACUCCGAGUGUAGAGGUGAAAUUCGUAGAUAUUCGGAAGAACACCAGUGGCGAAGGCGGCUCACUGGUCCGGUACUGACGCUGAUGUGCGAAAGCGUGGGGAGCAAACAGG